rnacentral:lncRNA from 1 species
GGGGAAACGGAGUGGCCGGGGGGGAAAAAAACUAAGGUGGCGGCGGGCGAAGGCGGAGCGGCGGAGAUGGGAAGCUUGGCGCGGCGGGGUUGGCGGUUCGCUGUGGCACGGCCGGAGGAGGGCGGUGGUCGGUGCUCUUCGCGGCAGAGGAGGCUGAGAGGGAGGGCGGUGGCGGAAGGUGGCGGCGGAGGAUGUAGUGGAGCGGAAGCAGCGGCGGGUAGACGACGCGCGGCGGGCGGUGGAGCGGCGAAGGUGGCAGAGAUAGCGGCAUGGAGCGGG